rnacentral:rRNA from 1 species
AGCGAACGCUGGCGGCAGGCUUAACACAUGCGAGUCGAGCGGGCACUUCGGUGUCAGCGGCAGACGGGUGAGUAACACGUGGGAACGUACCCUUCGGUUCGGAAUAACGCUGGGAAACUAGCGCUAAUACCGGAUACGCCCUUUUGGGGAAAGGUUUACUGCCGAAGGAUCGGCCCGCGUCUGAUUAGCUAGUUGGUGGGGUAAUGGCCUACCAAGGCGACGAUCAGUAGCUGGUCUGAGAGGAUGAUCAGCCACACUGGGACUGAGACACGGCCCAGACUCCUGCGGGAGGCAGCAGUGGGGAAUAUUGGACAAUGGGCGCAAGCCUGAUCCAGCCAUGCCGCGUGAGUGAUGAAGGCCUUAGGGUUGUAAAGCUCUUUUGUCCGGGACGAUAAUGACGGUACCGGAAGAAUAAGCCCCGGCUAACUUCGU